AGGGAUGAUGGGAAGCCUGUUCUUGUUUAUCGGAAAACAUCUGAGCCCAUGAAUUGCCAGACCCUGGAUACCUGAGACACAUCCACUUGCUUCUCAGGUUUGGAGUGCAUAAUGAGGAGAAAUAAAAACAGAAAGAUCUCCAGAAAGAAGCCAUGGUAAGAUUCAAGGUUUCACAGUCCAAGCUAAUGCCUGUGGACACUUGACCAAGUGAUCUGAGAAAAUUGGAUUUCUGGCAAAACAAGUGUACCUAGACUCAGGCAAGGGUGGAGAACAGAGGGCGACUAGAUUAAAUGGAAAGAAUGCCCAGGCAUCCCAUUGCCUCCCUUUGACGUUCCAGAACUUCAUCAAGACAGUGAUGAGCUACAUGUACACCUGGAGGAGUGUUGGGACCUCAUCUGGCUUGAACCUCUACAGCAGUCUCCUUUCAGAGGAAGGCUUCAUGAAUACGUCCUAUUUAGGGACCAUGCAGAAUACCAUCCAGCGCCAUGAACACUAGUCAGUCAGUCAGUAAUGGUGGGCUUCUUGGUGUGCUCCAGCUCAAUUUUCUCAUGUUUGAUGAUUAGUUCAGGAUCAAGCUCAGAAGCGCACAGCUGCCAGCAAGCAGUCUACUACUGAACUGCACCAUCUCUCCAGCCUGUGCUUACUCUUGAAUAGCCCCAAAGUAGUCAAUGGUAUGGCAAAAUAAACCUCCAUUUCAUUUAGAUUUUUAUAGUAUUUUUUGCCACUUAAAUUAUUUUAUGUAGUUGAGUAUGAUUUUUUUUCCCCCUAAGGAAUUCUAUGUAUCUCAAUUUCAAGAGUCUUCAGCCUUUAUGUUAUACAUAAUUUCCUAUAGAUUUCAAAGUUGCUUUAAUAAAAAGUUUAAUGUUAAAA
rnacentral:lncRNA from 1 species